AAGGGAGACCUAAUUCCGGUAGGAGACGAAAAAAAAGUAGUCCCAACCAAGAAUCAAUCCCAAAAGGUCGGAGCGAGGCGAAAUUGGCUUUCAAACUAGGUUCUGGGUUCACACAAGACCUGAAUCAGGAACAAGGGCUAUUAGCUCAGGUGGUUAGAGCGCACCCCUGAUAAGGGUGAGGUCCCUGGUUCGAGUCCAGGAUGGCCCACCUGCACAGGUGGCAAAAACAAAGAAAAAAAGCUCCGAAUCAGCACCUUAUCUUACUUAUACAGUAAGAGAGAAUGCUGGCUCUGAGUACAGAGUCCAGAGGAACCUUGAAAACUGCAUAGAGCUAGGUGAAAAAGCCAAAAAAGAAGACCGCAA
rnacentral:tRNA from 1 species